GGACAUACACAAUGGUUUCUGCCUCUGAGCCCUUGAGGAAGCAACAACAAAAUAUUAUUCAAACUAGAUUCAAAAUGGUUGUGAAGAGAACGGAAAUGGUUCACCACAGGAGACCAAAACAUCAAAAGCAUCAGCUCCCGGAAGCUGGCAGUCACCACCCGCCCGUCUCCAUCAUCUAGUGUGAGGCUCUGAUUUACCAAAUCAUACCAGUGACUGCUACAGUUAAGAAAGAGAAGUCGUUCAUUCUCUUUAGACUGGUCCUUUUUCUGGGUUCCAGAAAAAUCACGGGAAGAUCCGGCAGCAACGAAUGACGCUUCAAAACUACGA